GGCCCAUUAACCGCUGUAUGUUUUCUGCAGGUUGUAAAGGACUGUGCUUGAACUGCUGAACCUGGUGUUUGAGCUGCUGAUACCAUUCUACAGAUGGCAUUGUAUGACGACGACCUCCCCUUGGAUGAUGACGCACAAUCGGUACCACGUGUCACAGCAGUCAAUUUGAGGAGCCAGCAACGAGAUAUUGACGCAUUGGUGGUCAAACAGAAACUGAGGAAAUGGCACCCCCAACUGCCAAUUUCAAUGGAAGCACAACGCACGUGCAAGGCAGAGUGGACGUCUCGAGGAGCUAGUCUAUCCGUGAGGUCCCUGCACAGGCACAAAAUCCAUUUGUUAUGAAUGCAACAGAUCAUGAUCCAGAUUCCUAUUAAUUACUAGAUCACACUUCAAAUGGUUCUUCCACCAAAUUGAGACAGUUAAAAACCAGAAUGGGCAAAAAAAAUUGUUUGUUCAAUUGACACAAACUAAAAAGUGGUACUCUGUGUUAAAGUGUGCUUAAUAUUGUUAUGGUAACAUUAAUUUGUGCCAUAAGGUAUGUUUUGUAUUAGAAUCAUUAGAAGACUGGAACAUAAGCCAGCUCAAUCUAAUAGAGAUGUGCGAUUCAAUUUGCUCACGAAUUAAUUUGCGGCAAAUCAGGGCAACUCACAGAUUCAACCGUGAAUUGAAUUGCCCCUUUAAAAAAGGGACUGAUUCAACUGCAAAUAA